CAAUAGCGUAUAUUAAAGUUGUUGCAGUUAAAAAGCUCGUAGUCGGAUUUCUGGCUUGGAAGAGCGGUCCGCCUGACCUUGUCAGAUGUGAACUAGCGUUUUCCAGCCAUCCUCGUGGAGAGCUGUCAAUGGGUGACCCUCGUUGUCAUGCGAUCCACGUCAUUUACUGUGAACAAAUUAGAGUGUUCAAAGCAGGCUUACGCCACUGAAUAUAUUAGCAUGGAAUAAUGAUAUAGGACCUUGGUACUAUUUUGUUGGUUUGCGCACUGAGGUAAUGAUUAAUAGGGACAGUUGGGGGUAUUCGUAUUCCAUUGUCAGAGGUGAAAUUCUUGGAUUUUUGGAAGACGAACUACUGCGAAAGCAUUUACCAAGGAUGUUUUCAUUAA
rnacentral:rRNA from 1 species